GACGAACGCUGGCGGCGUGCUUAACACAUGCAAGUCGAACGAGGUUCAACCGGUGGCAACACCGGGGACGGCCUAGUGGCGAACGGGUGAGUAUCACGUGAGGAACCUGCCCCGAAGACCGGGAUAACCCUCCGAAAGGAGAGCUAAUACCGGAUGCCCUCACCGGGCCGCAUGAUCUGGUGAGGAAAUGGAUUCCGCUUCGGGAGGGCCUCGCGGCCUAUCAGCUUGUUGGUGGGGUAACGGCCCACCAAGGCUUCGACGGGUAGCUGGUCUGAGAGGACGAUCAGCCACACUGGGACUGAGACACGGCCCAGACUCCUACGGGAGGCAGCAGUGGGGAAUCUUGCCCAAUGGGCGAAAGCCUGAGGCAGCAACGCCGC
rnacentral:rRNA from 1 species